UCUCCAUUUCACACGCUCUCUCGCUGGUCAGAGAAAGCGAGAGAGCAUGGGAAAUGGAGAGA
rfam:Pristionchus pacificus strain PS312 contig3566, whole genome shotgun sequence.